CAUUUUCAUCUGAUUUCCUCAGUGAGUAAGCAGCUAUAACAAGUCCAGCCACAGCUGAAAUGGGAGCCUUGAAGCCACCUUGAAAGUAGAGACUGAGAAGAGGAUACACAAGAUGUGACUGUCCUUGGGCAAGAUACAUAGCAUCAUCAAGAGGAAAUUUCAAGAGAGGAAAGCAUUAAAAUUGCUGCUGAGAAAGCACCUGUAAUUGCUUACUUCGGUGGAUAAUUACCAUUGAAGAGAGACCUCCUUACCUACACUUGCACAAUAGGAAAGGUGUCCUGAAGGGAAAAGUAACAUCCUUAGGAGGCUCUGUCUUGUGAAACUCCAGCUUCCUUUAAACAGAGAAAGUCUACACUGACGGCAUUCCUUAAGCCUACGAGACAACUGUCUAAUAACGUCGUUCUUCAGGGUUACUAUGCUGAUACUUGGUCCAAGAGAGCUGGGCUAGAUAUUGAGCUGAUUGUGGCACGUUGAAACAUCAUCUCUGUGGUACUUGAUGUGCAGACAUGGAAGACAGAAGAGUGAGGGUGUAAUGAAAACUUGACUUCAGAGAGCAGCUGAACCUAAGCAGUGUUAUGUCACCAUCAUAGUUCCCGCAGGAUUGGAGAAUGCCUACUACCUGUCCAAUCUGCAAAGGAGAAAGAAGUGUGUGAGCAUAAAGAAAUUGGAGGAUCACAACUGACAGUCCCUAAACCCUCUUAUGGUUGGGACCAUACGGUAGACAAAGAGAAGAACAACAUGAGGUCUGAAAGAAAGGCUGGAAGAUCAACUCCUAUUUGCAUUGACCAGAGACUUGGAGGAGGAAACCUGUAUUGUAUUUGUUUUGUUUUGUUUUUUAAGUGAACCACAGAGAUAUUUAUAUGUAAAACGAGAAUCAUUAGAAGAAUGUGGCUUGUUAAAAACAACAGUAACCAAAACCAACCUAACCAAACAAACAAACAAAAAGCAGAAUGGAAAACAGUGAAAACUAGAAGCCACGAAGACACUAUGGCUGCCAUGCCAGGCAUUUCUGCUUCACUACAGAUCUUUAAUUCGGUGUUGAGGUACAUAUUAACAGGCAAGUCUUCAGAUAUAUGAGGACAUGUAAAGGAGUUAAAUAAACCAAAGACCCUACACAAAAGGAAAAGAGAAAUGUAAUUUAGUUUAAAAGGCAGUGUCUUGUUCUUAGGCAGUGAUUACUACCACCUCCAUUGUAGAGUACAACAAAAAUCCACAACUAAGAGAAUGGGUAAACUGAGUUCAUGUAAAUGAGACUUUCAUGUUUUAUUUUUCCUGUUUUGCAUUCCUUGAAAUAUAAAUAUUUCAUCUAAAUGCCAACGGACCUGUUCAAAAUUCCUACAAGGGGAUGGGAAGAUAGCUCCAUCGAUUAAGAACACUUGCUCUGAAAGCAGAGACACUCAGUUCAAAACCCCAGCAUCCACAAAAACCAUCAAGAACAGUUGUACAUGCCUGUAACCCCAACAUUGAGGGUUGAAACAGGUGAAUUUCCAGCGUUCACUAGCCAUCUUCAGGUUCAAUGAAGUCAUCAUAUCUCAAGGCCAUAAGGCAGAUAACCAUUAAAGAAGACAUCCAAAGUCUUGUUCUGGGCUUCCACGUGUACAAAUCUGUACACACCUGGACAGACUUUGUGCAGAUUGCCACAGCUUCUGUGAUUUACCACUACAAGGACAUGGCAACCCAGAAGACAUUUCAUAGAACAUCUCCUCAACCUUGUCUGUAUUUAUUUUUCUUUUUUACAGAAACCAAACUGUUCUUUCUAUGAUUUAGAACAUCAUUUCAAUGGUUUUUUUUCCCCAGAAAUUUCCAAUUAUUCUAGGUUUAAAUAAUCCUUCCUUAAUUUAAAGUACUUUGUGGAAUGAAUACAGAAAGAGCCUCAGUCCAGUAACUGUAUUUGCAUGGAUGUACUUCAUAUACUCUUGUUAUGUCAGGCUUCUUUCUUACGAGUUUUGUGCCUUUAUAUGAGGUGGCAGCAUUCAUAUUGUAAAUAUGGACCUUAAUGUUGCUUUAUCAUCACUACAAAAAUAACAUCCUAUCUCAAGAUAAUAGGAGUUGUGUUUUCAGUAUUGCUACUGCUGAAAAGUCCUGGUAAUUCUAAUUUUUUUUUGCACUGCAAAGUAACCAGAAAGAAAAACUUCAUGGGACAGAUCUUUAAGGUCUUUCUUGGUGUUUUAUGAAGGAUUAUUAGGAGAAAAUAACUUCUUUGCUGAAAUGUCUCCAUAUAUAUGGUGUGUGUGUGUGUAUGUAUUUCUGUGUAUCUUCAUCAUAAUUAUAGUAUUUCAUAUAUCACUUCAGUAUUAAUAUGCAAAUUGUGGUUUUGAUUUAGGAAAUUUGGAAUGUUACAUAAUAUUAAUGGUCACUUGACAAUGAUAUGAUUUGGUCAAAAAUUUAUUCAUUUUAAAGUAUUCUAAAAUAAAAGCAGUUUUCAACUAA